AGUCAUUUAAAUAAUAUUAUAUUAACUCCUUAUAAACAAUCAUCUCCCAGACAAAAGGAAAAUUUGCAUCGUACCAUGGAAACAUACGCUAUUACAAAUAACGAAGUUAAUACAGAUGGACAAAGUGGAAAAAAAGGUAUAACCAAUAAGCAAUUGAUUUACUAUUUUAAUUAUUAUUUGAUAAAUACUUUAUUAUAAUUAUAGAAAAUAUUAUUAAAGGAGAAUAUAUUGGAUCGCCCGGAAAGUUCAUUCCGAUUUAUAUUUAGAUUCGAUAUACAUUUAUUGAAUUUUAUAGGUGCUAUUUUAUUCCACAACCUUUCUCCAUCCUUUAAGCAACUUGAAUAUUGCAUCCUUCCAGAACCUCUCAAGUUUUUCAGUGAGAAACUUUUCAAUAAGAUCUUUCAUGUCAACCAAUUUAAUUCAAAAUCGGAACAAACUUUCCGGACGAUCUAAUAUUAGCCUAUUAAGGACCAGAAAUUACGUUAACGCUGUAUUUCAUUUGUAGUUAUCUUCGAUUACUUUAUUGAUGUUUGCUUUCUACUAUUAUGGCUAUGAAAAAGAAUUCUGAGGACUUGCCUAAUAUUCUUGCUUUCUUUUUUAUUAUUUCUUCUGUCAACUAUAUUCUACGUUUUUAUAGAGUUUGUACAAAUUGUAAUAUUUGUAGCAUCGUGGUAGGAUCACUCGUCAAGGACCAAAAAUAUGGGAUCAAUGGGGAAACUGGUCAAGCUGUAGUGUUACUUGUGGUAUAGGAAAAUUAACAAGAUGGAGACAUUGUAUAGGUGGAAGUUGUUUAUUAGGUGAAAAGAAA